CGCGUAGGUGGCCAAUUAAGUCAAAUGUGAAAUCCCCGAGCUUAACUUGGGAAUUGCAUUCGAUACUGGUUGGCUAGAGUAUGGGAGAGGAUGGUAGAAUUCCAGGUGUAGCGGUGAAAUGCGUAGAGAUCUGGAGGAAUACCGAUGGCGAAGGCAGCCAUCUGGCCUAAUACUGACACCUGAGGUGCGAAAGCAUGGGGAGCAAACA
rnacentral:rRNA from 1 species